AUGCAACAUCCGGUGAGCCCGUAGCCCGCCGCCCAGCACCAAAACAAACAUGGCUCGGCGUGGUGCUGCGCGCGAGGCCCAGGACGAGGAGCCGCGGACACUGAGCUGCCUACAGCCUGAAAUACUCCCCGUGCAAAUAAUGAUUGACGUGCUGCAAGAGAGAGGAAUGAAAGCAGCUGUGUUGCAGCAAGCAGACAGAGAAAAAAUAAUUCAUUUGUUCUAUAAAUACAUCACCCCAAAAUAUCAGCGUGACUGCCGAGACAAUCGCCGUGGAAGAUUAAUGAAAAAAAUACGAGAAAGGAAAGCAAUCAGGCUGAAAGAUGAUGACUGGAAAACGCUUGUGACAGAAUCUAAAAGCAAAACAUCCCUUGGCCUGUCUACAAAACUUGUCGCAAAUAAUGGUGGUGAGAGGUUGAAGCCGCCUCCUUCAUGCAUCAACACGGAGAAGAAAGUAAUCAAGCUUGGGGCUACAGCAAAGGCGUCAGCAGGUGAUUUAGAUUUUGUCAUCAUUAAGAGGAAGAACUGUGAAAACAAUGAUGAAGAAACCAGUACAAAGAAACAGAAGCUGUUUGAUGAUGAGAGGAAAAUUGAACCUGAAAAGAAUUCAGAGAAACAUGAAAUUGAUGACCAUGAAAGCAUAACUGGACAUGAGGAGCUGAAAUACGGAGGUAUACAAAAGAUGUAAGACGGGGAGGGACAGGAGGGCCCAGCACAUCCUCCUCCUGCCACUAAGUCUCAAGUGACACUGAACUACAAAUCAUUCAUCACUUCAAUGAGUUGCCAAAGAGCCAAUGGAAAAUAAAAAGAAGCCUAAGCUGGACCGGAAGCCAAUCAGUUGGCCCUAGCAUGUUAUAGUACUCAAAAUCUGGCAAUAUUUUAAGAUAGAUUUAAGGUGUAUGAUGGACAUAGAUUCUUUUAUGAAGCUUUUAUGAUUACUAAUGUGCAAGUCAAGCUUUUAUACUUUUAGCAAUAGAUCUGUUCUGUUGAUGGCUUUUAGGGAGGUUUUUACUUACAUUGGAAA